rnacentral:rRNA from 1 species
UACGGAGGGUGCAAGCGUUAUCCGGAUUCACUGGGUUUAAAGGGUGCGUAGGAGGGCAGGUAAGUCAGUGGUGAAAUCUCCGAGCUUAACUUGGAAACUGCCGUUGAUACUAUCUGUCUUGAAUACCGUGGAGAUGAGCGGAAUAUGUCAUGUAGCGGUGAAAUGCUUAGAUAUGACAUAGAACACCAAGUGCGAAGGCAGCUUGCUAAACAGAUAUUGACGCUGAGGCACGAAAGCGUGGGGAUCAAACAGG